GGCUUCACCGAGACACAUGUCACAGCAAUCGGCACACGCAAGACGUACCACUUCCAAGAUCCACCACUCCCGAAGGAGGUGCACGUUGCCGUGGUACUGCUCCUGCUGGCAAUCCUGACCGUGGCGCUAUUCCUCGGCUACGACGUGUACCACUCAUUCGCGCACCUGCCGCGUCGAUCGAACGUGACAGCGAGAAGCCAGGCGCCUGUGACGACCACGCCGCUACCGACGCCCUUCUUCAUGCGAUAGCCCCUCUCGAAAUGUCUUCCUCGGGAAGCGGUCUAUAGUAUUCG
rnacentral:lncRNA from 1 species